AGAGUUUGAUCCUGGCUCAGGACGAACGCUGGCGGCACGCUUAACACAUGCAAGUCGAACGAGAGAAGAGGAGCUUGCUUUUCUGAUCUAGUGGCGGACGGGUGAGUAACACGUGAGCAAUCUGCCUUUCAGAGGGGGAUACCGAUUGGAAACGAUCGUUAAUACCGCAUAACAUAAUUGAACCGCAUGAUUUGAUUAUCAAAGAUUUAUCGCUGAAAGAUGAGCUCGCGUCUGAUUAGCUAGUUGGUAAGGUAACGGCUUACCAAGGCGACGAUCAGUAGCCGGACUGAGAGGUUGAUCGGCCACAUUGGGACUGAGACACGGCCCAGACUCCUACGGGAGGCAGCAGUGGGGAAUAUUGCACAAUGGAGGAAACUCUGAUGCAGCGAUGCCGCGUGAGGGAAGAAGGUUUUAGGAUUGUAAACCUCUGUCUUCAGGGACGAAAAAAGACGGUACCUGAGGAGGAAGCUCCGGCUAACUACGUGCCAGCAGCCGCGGUAAUACGUAGGGAGCGAGCGUUGUCCGGAAUUACUGGGUGUAAAGGGAGCGUAGGCGGGAUCGCAAGUCAGAUGUGAAAACUAUGGGCUUAACCCAUAAACUGCAUUUGAAACUGUGGUUCUUGAGUGAAGUAGAGGUAAGCGGAAUUCCUAGUGUAGCGGUGAAAUGCGUAGAUAUUAGGAGGAACAUCAGUGGCGAAGGCGGCUUACUGGGCUUUAACUGACGCUGAGGCUCGAAAGCGUGGGGAGCAAACAGGAUUAGAUACCCUGGUAGUCCACGCCGUAAACGAUGAUUACUAGGUGUGGGGGGACUGACCCCUUCCGUGCCGCAGCAAACGCAAUAAGUAAUCCACCUGGGGAGUACGACCGCAAGGUUGAAACUCAAAGGAAUUGACGGGGGCCCGCACAAGCAGUGGAGUAUGUGGAUUAAUUCGAAGCAACGCGAAGAACCUUACCAGGUCUUGACAUCGUAUGCAUAGCUCAGAGAUGAGUGAAAUCUCUUCGGAGACAUAUAGACAGGUGGUGCAUGGUUGUCGUCAGCUCGUGUCGUGAGAUGUUGGGUUAAGUCCCGCAACGAGCGCAACCCUUACUGUUAGUUGCUACGCAAGAGCACUCUAGCAGGACUGCCGUUGACAAAACGGAGGAAGGUGGGGAUGACGUCAAAUCAUCAUGCCCCUUAUGACCUGGGCCUCACACGUACUACAAUGGCUGUCAACAGAGGGAAGCAAAGCCGCGAGGUGGAGCGAACCCCUAAAAGCAGUCUUAGUUCGGAUUGUAGGCUACAACCCGCCUACAUGAAGUCGGAAUUGCUAGUAAUCGCAGAUCAGCAUGCUGCGGUGAAUACGUUCCCGGGCCUUGUACACACCGCCCGUCACGCCAUGGGAGUCGGUAACACCCGAAGCCUGUAGUCUAACCGCAAGGAGGACGCAGUCGAAGGUGGGAUUGAUGACUGGGGUGAAGUCGUAACAAGGUA
rnacentral:rRNA from 1 species